UUAUCAUAACUGCUUUCAAAAACUAGUCCCUGAAAUUGCUCAUUAAAUUUCCCAAAUUCUUUUUAGAGCAAGGUAGGAAAUGAUACAGAUUGAGAAGGGUGGAUCUUGUACUCCUAGACAUACACAUAUAGACAUGGUGACACCUAUGCCCAGGUACAGGAGUAUAGACAGAUUCAAAAUAGAUUAGCUGGACUCCUUUGGGAAGGAACUCUCACAGUGACUGCCCUGCCACUAGCAUUCAACCAAUGUUCCCAGACUUGAUAUUAAGAAGAGGUGAAGAGAGAAUUGAGCCUGCAGAGUGAGACCAUAGGGAAGAGUGGAAUGGUCAAAAAGAAAGUCUAGAUGGAUGGGAAAGGAAGGGGAAGGGGCCAACAGAGCAAAGGCGGUGUUCAGGUGACACCUCUAUCUUUCUUUCAUUGUAGGCGGAGAGAAGUCUUUGGCCUAUCAUGAAUGGAAAAUGGCCCUCUUCAAGCCUGGUGAGUAAAUCACUGUAUGUUCCCCGGAUCAACAACCUGAGGGACUAUAUUCCUUUUUCCUCCUCCAACUCUUGUGAUUUG
rnacentral:sRNA from 1 species